AUGAGCAGAGCAGACAUGGGGAGACAGGAGGCAGCUGAAGCCAAAGAGGACCCAUGCCUGGAGCUCUGUGAAAGAAGAGAAAAGAGGGAUUUGACCAAUCCCAUCAACUGGGGCCUCACAUUUGAAGAACAGUUUCUCAAGCAACUGCUCUCAGAAGAAACACUGGCUCUCGAUGUGAAAUCAGGUUGCUGUGCGAUUGCCAGUCAUGAACAAGAUAUACAGACUGCCACCAUCCUCCUGUACUUCCAUGAGAAACACCAUUGACCUGCACCUUUGCCUUGGGUCAACAAUUUAAAGACAACUGCUGCUUGAUGGUGCACACAAAAUGAAUUAUUAGUCUUUGUUCUGGCCUAAGUGUCUGGAGACUGAGACCUUCACUGGCCCCACACAGAAGGCCAAGGACUGACAGAAGCACUAGCAAAAGAGAAGUCCCAACAGGUCAAGGGAAGGGGCAUUGCAGACUAAUAAACUCCAUUACUAUGAGGAGAACUUUGUUCA
rnacentral:lncRNA from 1 species